UUGCUUCGGCAGCACAUAUGCUAAAAUUGGAACAAUAACAGAGAAGAUUAGCAUGGCCCAUGCACAAG
rnacentral:snRNA from 1 species